UACGGAGGGUGCAAGCGUUAUCCGGAUUCACUGGGUUUAAAGGGUGCGUAGGCGGGUAUAUAAGUCAGGGGUGAAAGCUCCGAGCUUAACUUGGAAACUGCCAUUGAUACUGUAUAUCUUGAAUGUCGUAGAGGUUAGCGGAAUGUUGCAUGUAGCGGUGAAAUGCUUAGAUAUGUUACAGAACACCAAUUGCGAAGGCAGCUAACUAUGCGAUGAUUGACGCUGAGGCACGAAAGCGUGGGGAGCAAACAGG
rnacentral:rRNA from 1 species